rnacentral:rRNA from 1 species
CUUCGGGGUGUGACUGCGUACCUUUUGUAUAAUGGGUCAGCGACUUAUAUUCUGUAGCAAGGUUAACCGAAUAGGGGAGCCGGAGGGAAACCGAGUCUUAAUUGGGCGUUAAGUUGCAGGGUAUAGACCCGAAACCCGGUGAUCUAGCCAUGGGCAGGUUGAAGGUUGGGUAACACUAACUGGAGGACCGAACCGACUAAUGUUGAAAAAUUAGCGGAUGACCUGUGGCUGGGGGUGAAAGGCCAAUCAAACCGGGAGAUAGCUGGUUCUCCCCGAAAGCUAUUUAGGUAGCGCCUCGUGAAUUCAUCUCCGGGGGUAGAGCACUGUUUCGGCUAGGGGGCCAUCCCGGCUUACCAACCCGAUGCAAACUGCGAAUACCGGAGAAUGUUAUCACGGGAGACACACGGCGGGUGCUAACGUCCGUCGUGAAGAGGGAAACAACCCAGACCGCCAGCUAAGGUCCCAAAGUCAUGGUUAAGUGGGAAACGAUGUGGGAAGGCCCAGACAGCCAGGAUGUUGGCUUAGAAGCAGCCAUCAUUUAAAGAAAGCGUAAUAGCUCACUGGUCGAGUCGGCCUGCGCGGAAGAUGUAACGGGGCUAAACCAUGCACCGAAGCUGCGGCAGCGACACUGUGUGUUGUUGGGUAGGGGAGCGUUCUGUAAGCCUGCGAAGGUGGCCUGUGAGGG